ensembl:miRNA
ACCUGGAAGCCUUUCUGCAGGGCUCUGUUUGAUAUGUUUGAUAUAUUAGGUUGUUAUUCUGUCCAACUAUAUAUCAAACAUAUUCCUACAGUGUCCUGCUC